CACAGUGUAGCAAUACAUGGGUGGCGACCGGCAAACGGGUGCGGAACACAUACGCAACCUUCCUUCAGGCGGGGAAUAGCCCAGAGAAAUUUGGAUUAAUACCCCAUAAUAUUUUGAGAUGGCAUCAUCUUAUUAUUAAAGCUACGGCACCUGGAGAUGGGCGUGCGGCUGAUUAGGUAGUUGGCGGGGUAAUGGCCCACCAAGCCUACGAUCAGUAGCUGAUGUGAGAGCAUGAUCAGCCACACGGGCACUGAGACACGGGCCCGACUCCUACGGGAGGCAGCAGUAAGGAAUAUUGGUCAAUGGACGCAAGUCUGAACCGGCCAUGCCGCGUGGAGGAUGAAGGUCCUCUGGAUUGUAAACUUCUUUUAUCUGGGACGAAAAAAGGGUUUUCUAACUCGUCUGACGGUACCGGAUGAAUAAGCACUGGCUAACUCCGUGCCAGCAGCCCGCGGGUAAUACGGAGGGGUGCAAAGCGUUAUCCCGGAUCCACUGGGUUUGAAGGGUGCGUAGGGGGGGCAUUUAAGUCAGGGGGGGGAAUACCUGAGCUUAAACUUGGGAAACUGCCAUUGAUACUAUUUUGUCUUGAAUGUCGUGGAGGUUAGCGGAAUAUGUCAUGUAGCGGUGAAAUGCUUAGAUAUGACAUAGAGCACCUAUUGCGAAGGCAGCUAACUACGCGAAUAUUGACGCUGAGGCACGAAAGCGUGGGGAUCAAACAGGAUUAGAUACCCUGGUAGUCCACGCCCUAAACGAUGAUUACUCGACAUUAACGAUACACUGUUAGUGUCUGAGCG
rnacentral:rRNA from 1 species